CGACAGGACGGAAAGACCCCGUGGAGCUUUACUGUAGCCUGAUAUUGAAAUUCGGCACAGCUUGUACAGGAUAGGUAGGAGCCUUUGAAACGUGAGCGCUAGCUUACGUGGAGGCGCUGGUGGGAUACUACCCUAGCUGUGUUGGCUUUCUAACCCGCACCACUUAUCGUGGUGGGAGACAGUGUCAGGCGGGCAGUUUGACUGGGGCGGUCGCCUCCUAAAAGGUAACGGAGGCGCUCAAAGGUUCCCUCAGAAUGGUUGGAAAUCAUUCAUAGAGUGUAAAGGCAUAAGGGAGCUUGACUGCGAGACCUACAAGUCGAGCAGGGUCGAAAGACGGACUUAGUGAUCCGGUGGUUCCGCAUGGAAGGGCCAUCGCUCAACGGAUAAAAGCUACCCCGGGGAUAACAGGCUUAUCUCCCCCAAGAGUUCACAUCGACGGGGAGGUUUGGCACCUCGAUGUCGGCUCAUCGCAUCC
rnacentral:rRNA from 1 species